GGCACCAUUAAUAUAUGCAAAGCAUAUGCAAAUCACCCAGAAGAGAGACACAACAUCCACGGAAUGUCAGAAGAGACCUUGGAGAUGAUCCAGCCCACGCCCCCUCAUUUCACAGAGCUGGGAAUGAAAGAAGGGGAAGCGAGUGCAGCCCUCAAACCCGCUGACGGCCAGAUUUUUAUUAUCUUUGCUCCAAUGGGCCCUAGGAAGCCAACAAGGGAUUCUUCAAAGAGCAUCUGAGUGGCUCAUUGAAGCCUGCACCUGCACCAGCCCACCCACGGCAGGCCGCCGGGGGCUUGGGGGGCACAAGCUGUCCCCCACCUCCCACCAAGUCCAGAGACCAGACUCGAGGCUGCCAGAAGCCUCACCCUCAGCUCUCUGUGCCUAGGCAGGGGCCACUCGGUCAGGAAUCCAGGCUCAAAGGCCACACCCAGGCCUGCUGGGCCUCCGAGGCAGUCCCUGUCCCUCUCUGUGCCUUGAGGACACAAGUAAAAGAAGAAAUUGGA